rnacentral:rRNA from 1 species
UACGGAGGGGGCAAGCGUUUGUUCGGAUUUACUGGGCGUAAAGGGUGCGUAGGCGAUCUAAUAAGUCAGUGCUGAAAUAUCCCGGCUUAACCGGGAGGGUGGCAUUGAUACUGUUGGACUUGAGUAGAGUUGAGGUUGGCGGAAUUGACGGUGUAGCGGUGAAAUGCUUAGAUAUCGUCAAGAACACCGAUAGUGAAGACAGCUAACUAAGCUCAAACUGACGCUGAGGCACGAAAGUGUGGGGAUCAAACAGG